rnacentral:rRNA from 1 species
ACCCGCUGAACUUAAGCAUAUCAGUAAGCGGAGGAAAAGAAACUAACUAGGAUUCCCCGAGUAACGGCGAGCGAAAGGGGAGAAGCCCAGCGCCGAAGCCCGCGGCCCCCGGUCGCAGUGCAAUGUGGCGUUACGGUGGCGGCUCGCCGCGACUUCUCUGGCACGCGUACCUCUGAACGGGUCUGCCCGCAGCGGGUGUCAGGCCUCUACUUGCCGAGAGUCGUUGCGGCCCGCAGUCAUCGCGGAGUCGGGUUGCUUGAUAGUGCAGCCCAAAGUGGGUGGUAAGCUCCAUCUAAGGCUAAAUACCUAGUGCGAGACCGAUAGCAAACAAGUACCGUGAGGGAAAGUUGCAAAGAACUUUGAAAAGAGAGUUCAAGAGUACGUGAAACCGUUCAGAGGCAAACGGACGGAACUGGGCGAGUUCGCCGCCGCCAUUCAGCCGUCGCGUUCGCGCGGCGGUGCACUUGGCGGCGGCGGAGCGCGACGACCGUCUGCUCGGCCGUCAGAAGCCCGGCGGCAAGGUGGCUGCGCGCUCGCGUGCAGUGUUACAGGCCGCCGAGUGUACGGACUGGCUGGGCGGGCGAGGAGCGCCUGCGGUGCGCUCCCCCCUUCGGGGCGGGAGUGGCCCGACGCGGUGGGCUUGCGGACGCCGGUGACGAACUGCUCGCAGUUCGCCGUCGCGCGCUCUGCCUGUCGUGCCGCGCGGUGCCACGGGCACGCAGGGUCCGGGUCGUGUGGUUCCUGGCACUCCGUCCGACCCGUCUUGAAACACGGACCAAGGAGUUGAGCACGCGCGCGAGUCGAUGGGCUCGCAGAACCCCAGUGGCGCAGCUAAGGCAAAACGGGCGUGAUCCGGCACUCGCGUGCUGGCGCAACGCCGGCCCGCGGCCGACUCGAUGCGAGUAGCCGCGGAGCAAGAGCGUGCGUGCUCAGACCCGAAAGGUGGUGAACUAUGCUUGAGCAGGGCGAAGCCAGAGGAAACUCUGGUGGAGGCUCGCAGCGAUCCUGACGUGCAAAUCGGUCGUCAAACUUGAGCAUAGGGGCGAAAGACUAAUCGAACCGCCUAGUAGCUGGUUCCCUCCGAAGUUUCCCUCAGGAUAGCUGGCACUCGGGAAAAGUGGUUGUAUCCGGUAAAGCGAAUGAUUAGAGGCAUUGGGGACGAAACGUCCUCAACCUAUUCUCAAACUUUAAAUGGGUACGAGGCGCGGCCCUUCCUGAUCGGGGUCGCGUGCUUGAACAGUGAGUGCCCAGUGGGCCGUUUUUGGUAAGCAGAACUGGCGCUGUGGGAUGAACCAAACGCGCGGUUAGGGUGCCUAACGCACGCUCAUGAGAUACCACAAAAGGUGUUGGUUGAUAUAGACAGCAGGACGGUGGCCAUGGAAGUCGGAAUCCGCUAAGGAGUGUGUAACAACUCACCUGCCGAAUCAACUAGCCCUGAAAAUGGAUGGCGCUGGAGCGUGCGACCCAUACCGCGCCGUCGGGGCAACGCGUGCGAAAUGCCAGGCCCCGACGAGUAGGAGGGCGUGUCGGUGGCGUUGAAGCGUUGUGCGCGAGCACGCGUGGAGCCGCCUUCAGUGCAGAUCUUGGUGGUAGUAGCAAGUAUACAAAUGAGAACUUUGUAGACCGAAGUGGAGAAGGGUUCCAUGUGAACAGCAGUUGGACAUGGGUCAGUCGGCCCUAAGAGAUCGGAGAACUCCGUUCUGAACGGGGGAGGCGCCGCCUUGGCGCGUCGUCGGUGAGCGUUUGCGCGCCCGCCUGUCGAGCAGCAGCCUCGAAGCCGUCCGAACGUCUCUAGGUAGAGCGGCGGGGCACCGCAUGCUGGCUCGCUGUUGGCGGGAGUGCGCGGGCGCGACCCGGCGGUGCACAUGCCCUGGGGGAGGCCAAAUAUUGUACAUGACUCUAGAGCCCCCGUACCGAUCGAAAGGGAAUCGGGUUAAUAUUCCCGAACCUGGCAGCGGAGAUUGGGCCCUCGGGCCCCAGUGCGGUAACGCAACCGAACUCGGAGACGCCAGCGUCGAUCCCGGGAAGAGUUCUCUUUUCUUUGUUAGGAGCGGACUCCCUGGAAUUGGCUUGUCCAGAGAUAGGGACGUUGCAUCCGUAAAGCGUCGCGCCUCACGCGGCGUCCGGUGCAUCGGCGUUGGCCCUUGAAAAUCCGAGGAAGGCAGUGUAAUUUUCGCUCCAGGCCGUACCCGAAUCCGCAGCAGGUCUCCAAGGUGAACAGCCUCUGGUCGAUAGAACAAUGUAGGUAAGGGAAGUCGGCAAAUCCGAUCCGUAACUUCGGGACAAGGAUUGGCUCUGAGGUGCGGGCUGUUUCGGGUCGCGGCAAGAUGCGGGCGGCGCGCUGUGCUGGACUGGACGAGCCGAGAGGCGCGUUCGGACCGCCGCCAGCGUGCGCCCGAGGGCGGCCGUGGCUUUCGCCGUCGUGGGCCUCGCGGCUCGCGGCGGCUUCGUUCGGCCUUAACGUACAGCACAGAACUGGCACGGACUCUGGGAACACGAC